GACCCUAUAGAGUUUUAUAUUUAGUUAAUAAAUUAUUUUUUAGAAUUUAAUAUUAAUUUAUUUAUUAAAUAUUUGAUUGGGGUGAUUGAAAAAUUUGAAUAACUUUUUUUAUAUUUGAACAUUAAUUUAUGAUUAUUUGAUCCAUUAUUUAUGAUUAUAAGACUAAAUUACCUUAGGGAUAACAGCGUAAUUUUUUUUGAGAGUUCAAAUCGAAAGAAAAGAUUGCGACCUCGAUGUUGGAUUAAAAUUUAUUUUUGGUGUAGAAGCUAAAAUUAUUGGGUCUGUUCGACCUUUAAAAUUUUACAUGAUCUGA
rnacentral:rRNA from 1 species